GCUUUGGUGGUCUAAUUGGUUAGGCCGUCCGCCUCUGAUGCGGGACGUCGCUAGUUCGAAUCCUGGUCGAAUAGUA